GACGAACGCUGGCGGCGUGCUUAACACAUGCAAGUCGAGCGGUAAGGCCCUUUCGGGGGUACACGAGCGGCGAACGGGUGAGUAACACGUGGGUGACCUGCCCUUAGCUCUGGGAUAAGCCUGGGAAACUGGGUCUAAUACCGGAUAUGACUCCAUAACGCAUGUUGUGGGGUGGAAAGCCUUGUGCGGCUAGGGAUGGGCCCGCGGCCUAUCAGCUUGUUGGUGGGGUGAUGGCCUACCAAGGCGACGACGGGUAGCCGGCCUGAGAGGGCGACCGGCCACACUGGGACUGAGACACGGCCCAGACUCCUACGUGAGGCAGCAGUGGGGAAUCUUGCGCAAUGGGCGAAAGCCUGACGCAGCGACGCCGCGUUGGGAUGACGCCU
rnacentral:rRNA from 1 species